GCGCCUCUAGCUCAAUGGUAGAGCAAUUGACUCUUAAUCAAUGGGUUCCGGGUUCGAGCCCCGGGGGGCGCA
rnacentral:tRNA from 1 species